ACUAACGCUGGCGGCGUGCCUAACACAUGCAAGUCGAACGAGAAGCCCGCAAGGGUUGUAAAGUGGCGGACGGGUGCGUAACACGUGGGUAAUCUACCCUUUGGUCUGGGAUAACUUGUCGAAAGACGGGCUAAUACCGGAUAAGACCACGGCUCUGUGGAGCUGUGAGAAAAGACUCGCAAGGGUCACCGAUGGAUGAGCCCGCGGCCUAUCACGGUAGUUGGUGAGGUAAUGGCUCACCAAGCCUACGACGGGUAGCUGGUCUGAGAGGACGACCAGUCACACUGGAACUGAGACACGGUCCAGACUCCUACGGGAGGCAGCAGUGGGGAAUAUUGCGCAAUGGGCGAAAGCCUGACGCAGCAACGCCGCGUGGGUGAUGAAGGCCUUCGGGUUGUAAAGCCCUGUCGCCUGGGACGAACAAGCUCGUGAAGAACGAGCUCUGACGGUACCAGGAGAGGAAGCACCGGCUAACUCUGU
rnacentral:rRNA from 1 species